CCCUUAGAUGUUCUGGGCCGCACGCGUGCUACACUGAGUGGAUCAGCGGGUCAGGUUGCGCGAAAGUGUUUCCUAAUCUUGAAAUCCGCUCGUGAUGGGGAUUGACGGUUGCAAUUUUCCGUCAUGAACGAGGAAUACCUUGUAAGCGCGGGUCAUCAUCCCGCGCUGAAUACGUCCCUGCCCUUUGUACACACCGCCCGUCGCUCCUACCGAUUGAGUGGUCCGGUGAGGCUUUGGGAUCUGAGCGGAAAGAGCGUUUCGCUGUUUCUGCUCGGAAAGCUCAGUCGAACCUUAUCAUUUAGAGGAAUGAGAAGUCGUAUCA
rnacentral:rRNA from 1 species